rnacentral:rRNA from 1 species
CCUACGGGUGGCAGCAGUGGGGAAUAUUGGACAAUGGGCGAAAGCCUGAUCCAGCCAUGCCGCGUGUGUGAAGAAGGCCUUCGGGUUGUAAAGCACUUUCAGUGGGGAAGAAAGCCUUGGGGCUAAUACCCUCGAGGAAGGACAUCACCCACAGAAGAAGCACCGGCUAACUCCGUGCCAGCAGCCGCGGUAAUACGGAGGGUGCGAGCGUUAAUCGGAAUUACUGGGCGUAAAGCGCGCGUAGGCGGUCUGAUAAGCCGGUUGUGAAAGCCCCGGGCUCAACCUGGGAACGGCAUCCGGAACUGUCAGACUAGAGUGCAGGAGAGGAAGGUAGAAUUCCCGGUGUAGCGGUGAAAUGCGGAGAGAUCGGGAGGAAUACCAGUGGCGAAGGCGGCCUUCUGGACUGUCACUGACGCUGAGGUGCGAAAGCGUGGGUAGCAAACAGGAUUAGAUACCCCAGUAGUC